GGUAAUAUUGGCCAAUGGAGGAAACUCUGAACCCAGCGACGCCGCGUGCGGGAUGAAUGCUUCGGGUUGUAAACCGCUUUCAGCAGGGAAGAAGCGAAAGUGACGGUACCUCAGAANNNNNNCCGGCUAAAUAUGUGCCAGCAGCCG
rnacentral:rRNA from 1 species